GCUGGCUCACAGUGGCAUGAUCAGAGUUCACUGUAACCUUGAGCUCCUGUGCUCAAGCCAUAUUUCCACUUCAGCCUCCCAAGUAGCUGGAACUACAGGCCACAAGGAGCCUCACGGACAGGCCCUGGCAUUGUUAUUAAGGAGCCACAGCUGAUACGGGGACAGUUUUCAUCUUGGGGACGCAGUGCCUGGGGGAGAUGAACAACUUCUGGAACCCUGGAACAACACAUGUUUCCAUGGAACAACCUGGCUAUUCCUCCUGUAGAAUGGAUUCUGGGAAGUAUACAUGGAGAAGGACCCAUCUGGUGCCCACUAGGCUGAAUGAUCACCCAGUGUAUGAAAAAGCACUAGGCGAGGAGUGGUGGCUCAUGCUUGUAAUCCCAGUACUUUGGGAGGCCAAGAUGAGAUAAGAAGCCCCAAGAGGGAAAAUGACUCACCUCAAGGAUACCCAGCCAGUUAGUGAAGCUGUUGACACCCCAUUUUCAAAUUUAUAUUGUGAGCAUAAUAAUAAAAUCUACCCCACGGGAUUAUUGUGAAGGUGU
rnacentral:lncRNA from 13 species